CCAAAAGAUAAAAGAUUACGGAAUGUUUACACAUAAAACUUGAGGUGAAUGGAACCUUUAGGCAAGAAACAUAACAAGAACCAAAUUGAAGUAACAGAGAUAUUUGUUGCUGCCCAAUGUUCUUCUAUUGUUCUCAAUGUUUAUACAGAUGCUACUGGCUGUUUAGCCUCAGGUCUGACUGAGCAGACACAUGACCAAAACUAUUCCAGCUGUAACCAACCUGUCUUAUUUCAUGGCAUACUGAACCAGGACCACAUUAUUCAAUGUGUCCUUUUUAAGAUGGUAGUCUGAGAGAAAUUUGGUUGCUAUUUCUAGUGUGUUGAUUGAAUGUGUACUGGUUUCCUUGCCUGGUUUACACAAUCAUUAAUGUUGGUGUUGUUUCUGACAUACUUGUUACUUUUAUGAUUAUUUAAACCUAGGUCAGAAACUCUGAUCAAGUGGUCCUAUGAUCAAAGACAUUCCAGCCACGACCAUGCCAACUUUUAAGAAGAAACAUGGAUUAAAAGAAUGGGAAAAAGCAGGAAAAAGAAAAAAAAAACAAGCCUCU